CUAGUGCUCAAUAGUAGUGGCGGUUUGCUGUGUACUCACCGCCACUAGUGGUUAAAGCGUAUCAGCGGCUUAGGAAUUUAUACCAAAAUUCUCUCUCAAACUUCCUAUUAUUGAAAUAAAAAGAAAAAAAUAGCAGAAAGAAAAAUGACAGAAAAAUAAGCGAGAAAAGAAAAAUCAUACCAGUGGCUGUUUUAGUUGCCCGCACCGCCACUAGUGCUCAGUACUAGUGGCCGUUCAAUUCGUUUCACCACCACCAGAUCUUCACACCAGUGGUGGUUCUUGCGUUUUCACCGCCACUAGUGCUCCUCAGCGCGAGCUUCCGCGAAGCGAGUUGGGAGUUUAGUCCCACCUCGUUUGUUUACAGCCGUUUCGACCAGCAUAAAUAGGAUUCUCCAACUCAGUCAUCACUUCCGAUUCAAUUUCCCGUAGUACUCUGCUCCUGGCCUAUGGCCCGGUUGUGCUCUGUUCCUGGCCUGUGGGCCCGGUUGUCGGUCCGAUUGUACUUGGUGGGCUCGGUCAAAGCCCUGUGGGCCCGGUCAAACCGGCAUUAGUAGGUAGUAGGCAGCUCCCUGGUUCGCCGGGUUGGGCCCGAACCCGAAAAGCCGUGUUGACUGGGUGGGCUAAUUUUUUUCCAUGAAAUUUGAUCAAGUUAUUUUGAAGUUCAGAAAAUAUUUAAGACAUUUGAUUUCAAAUUUGAACAAGUUAUUUCAAAUUUAGAACAUAUUUAAGACAUUUGAUUUGAAAUUUGAACAAGUUAUUUAAGACAUUUUGCUAUCAAAUUGGAACAAGUUAUUUCAAAUUCAGAACAUAUUUUUGAUUUCAAAUUUGAAAACGUUAUUUCAAAUUCAGAACAUAUUUAAGACAUUUGAUUUGAAAUUUGAACAAGUUAUUUAAGACAUUUUGCUAUCAAAUUUGAACAAGUUGUUUCAAAUUCAGAACAUAUUUUUGAUUUCAAAUUUGAACAAGUUAUUUCAAAUUCAGAACAUAUUUAAGACUUUUGAGACAUAAUACAAGUUACAAUAUUCCAUUCAAAAGCAUCAUUAAACAUCAACUACGAAAAGAUACACAAAUAUUCAACUAUUACACAAUCUUGUCCUUCUUCUUCUUUCUGGUCUUCUCCUUCCUCUUAUAUGUUAGGGUCUCGCUAUGACCGCUUCUAGCGUAUGCCCCCUCUCUUGCCUCAGGUCUUUACUUCUUCCUUGUCUGGAUUGUCCGUGAUGCUUCUUGUUCUUGUUUUUCUUCUUCUUCUUCUUCUUCUUCUUCUUCUUCUUAUUUUGACGUUGGAUCAGGAAAACCUUCAUAGUCUUGUUGUGAAGUAACUCCGUCGACGCCAACUAUGCUUCUUUUCCCUCUCCUUACGACAACAUGGUUCUUGCUUGUCGGGUCGUCGAUGAAGAAAACUUGUUUGCAUUUUGAAGCAAACUGCCAUGGUUCCCAUCUUGCCAGGAUUUUCUUCACGUCCACUUUAUGACGAGGAACCUCACGAGGCAGGAUCAUUGUUGUGAAUCUAUGAUCUUCUUGUCUGACAUCACGUGCCCAUCUGACACGGAACAUGGGGAUGGUGGUGAAGGUGUAUUCAAGCUCCUAGAUCUCUUCGAUCACACCAUACUACGCUUUUGUAGUGUGUUGGUUAUCAGAACUAGUCUUAACAACCAGCACUAUACCCUUAUUUUGGUAACUGCUCUUACGAUCUUGAUCCUUGGUGUAGUACGUAUACCCGUUCAUUGCGUAUGACUAGUAAGUCACUACGCAGCCAUCGGGUAGCCACGAGAACUUUUGAGCGGUACUUUCUUCUUCAUUUUCCACCACCCUAGCAUACCAAAAACUUUUUAGCCACAUGGCGAAUGUUGCAUUGUGGGUCUUGUGUAUCCAAUCAGCACUCCUGUUAGGGUACCGGUUUUCAAGUUCUUCCCACCUACACGGCCAUCAUCACGAUCACCUCGGGCCCAGGUUCAAACAACUUACUCAAUCUUGGCAGAGCCCAUAUUACCAUGUGGUUGUACUGGAAGCUACUAAACAGGAAACUAGUCCAGUCUCUAAUUACCCCAGGUGGCAUUCCACAUUUUGCGACGUAGGCGCUCCCAUAGAUAUGGCGAGACGACUCAUAGAAAUGGACCCACAGGCACCUGACGCCGCAUAACAUCCAUAAUCUCAAAGCCGCCCACCCAGGAUGGUUCAUUAAAAUUAAGUUGUUUUGCCAUACACUAAGUAAAACACAGCUUUUCUCCAUAACCAUAGUAUUAUCAUGAUGUAGUAAAUUCCCCCACGAUACUACCAUAGCAUAGCACUCAACUGCAGACGAUGGCAAUUUGGUGGUAAGAUGAUGGCACGGAUAUAAACUACACUACUUGGGAUUUAUAGCUAGCAUAGAGAUACAAAUAAUAUUCCUAAUGCAACUAAUAAAACAUCUAGUGCAUAGUAAACAUAUUAGGGAAAUGAUACUGUAACAUCCCAAAUUUUCAAAACCUUACAUAAUGCAUUGCAUUCCAUGAGCAUCAUGUCACCUUUGCAUUUCACCACAUUCAAAACCAUGAACUUAAACUCAGAAAAAUCCAAUAACAAAGUUUCCUUCUCAUUUGAAUCUUACUUUUUACUUUUCUUUUGCCAAUUGGAUUUUGACCCAUGAGGGUGUUGUUAAUAAAGAUGGUUUAGCGCAUGAUAAUGCUACCCAUAUUUUGGUAUUUGUUUUGGAAUUGAAACACUACAAAUUUUAUUAGUUAGAAAGCCCUAAAGGCAAUUUUAUAGGCAAAGGUAUUUUUAUAUAUUUUAUUUUGGGGAAAUUCUUGUCCCAAAAGUUGAAUCCUAUGAAGAUAUGAUUUUAAAUUUUUUGUUGCAUUUUAUUUGACUCAAUUUGGAGCUUUGAAUCAAAAGUUUAGUUCAAAACCAGAAAAAGAAAAAGGGAAAAAGAAAAGGGGAAAAAAAGGGAACCGGACCGACCCUUACUGGGCCGGCCCACUUACCGAACAACACACGCAGCCCAGUCCCGUGCGCGCCCGAGCCGCAGUCGCUGCCAGGACCAAAUAAACUUUUCUUUGGCAUCUUUUACCAUGACAGGACCAAAUAAACUUCGGUCUCCCACACCAUCCCAUAAUAGAGGUGUCCUGAAUUUCUUGCCAUACAAAGCUUCAAAUGAUGCCAUUCCAAUGCUCAAUUGAAAACUAUUGUUGUACGAGAAUUCUGCGUACGGUAGGUUCUCAUCCCAACUAGAGCCAUAAUCUAGAGCACAAGCUCUCAACAUAUCUUCAAGAAUUUGGUUUACCCUUUCGGUUUGUCCAUCUGUCUAUGGAUGAAACGUUGUGCUAAACUCUAGCCUCGUGCCUAGAGACUCAUGCAGCUGUCCCCAAAAUCUUGACGUAAAUUGAGUACCUUUGUCUGAGACGAUCUCCUUAGGGACUCCAUGUAGACACACAAUUCUAGACAUGUAGCGUUUGGCCAACUGAGCACUUGUAUAAGUGGUCUUCACAGGUAUGAAGUGAGCAACUUUGGUCAAACGGUCGACUACUACCCAUAUCGAAUCAUAGCCAGACUUUGUCCUCAGCAAUCCGGUGAUGAAGUCCAUGCCUACUUUGUCCCAUUUCCAGUCUGGCACUGGCAUCGGUUGUAAUAGUCCAGCUGGCUUCUGAUGUUCAGCCUUGACUCUGUUACAAACAUCACACAGAGCAAUAUAUUCUGCGAUAUCUCGCUUCAAUCCAGUCCACCAGAAACUUUCCUUCAGAUCCAUGUACAUUUUGGUGUUCCCGGGGUGAAUGGAGUAUGUUGAAUCGUGAGCCUCUUGAAAUAUCAGCUUUCUGAUCUCAGGGUCCUGGGGUACGCAAAUACGCUUCUUAAACCAAAUAGUUCCUUUUUCGUCCUCCCGAAAUCCUUCAGCCUUGUUUUCGGCCAUAUUAGCUUUUAUUUGUGCAAUCUCUGUAUCAGUUUUCUGGGCUUCUCUAAUCUUGUCCAACAGUGUGGGUUGUACUUCUAGGUUAGCCAGAUAACCUUCUAUGACUAUCUCCAAUCUAAGGUCCUUGAAUUGCUCACAAUUCAUAGGGUAACUCUCCGGCUGUAAGUCCAUUGACGUAGCCCUUGCCGCUCAAAGCAUCGGCCACCACGUUAGCCUUGCCUGGAUGGUAUUGCAGAUUCAAAUUAUAAUCCUUGAUUAGUUCCAACCACCUCCUUUGUCACAUGUUCCGCUCCUUCUGCGUGAAUAAAUAUUUCAAGCUCUUGUGGUCGGUGAAUAAUUCACAAUGCUUUCCUACGAGAUAGUGCCUCCAGGUCUUGAGUGUGUGCACUACCGAUGCUAACUCCAAAUCAUGAGUGGGGUAAUUCUUUUUGUGGCUCUUAAGUUCUCGCGAGGCGUAUGCCACGACUCUCCCUCCUUGCAUCAAAACACAGCCCAAUCCUAGACACGAGGCGUCACAAUACACUUGGAAAUCUUCCUGUAUAUUGGGCAAACACAGAGAUGGUGAUACGAUACCACUCGCCAGUGAUGAUAAGAUUCACUCAUAGCAUAGGUGGAAGAUCCAUCUAAUUUUAUUUAUAGAUUUAUUUGUUCAAAGAAAAGACGCCUAAAAAUCAUUCAGGGAACCUACUCUUGGUAUCCUUUACCACAUUCACUUUCCAUAUUCCCUUUCUUUAGUUCAGACGCUAUCGUACCUCAGGGAAAAUCCAAAUUUCUAUCAACGAUUCCCACCCAACUCUGGAAUUGGUGCAGACACUAGUCUUUUCUUCAAUUCUUGAAAACUUUCUCCACAUUUAUCGGUCCACUCAAAUUUCUUCUCCUUCUUCAAGAGUUCCGUCAUGGGCCUUGCUAUCUUGGAAAAGUUCUCGAUGAACCUCCUGUAGUAACCGGCAAGUCCUAAGAAACUGCGAACAUCACCGACGUUCUUAUGGUUUUCCAAUUCUAUUACCGCUGCUACUUUAGCCGGGUCGACAGCAACUCCUGCUCCUGACACAAUGUGUCCUAGGAAACUGACUUCUGACGGCCAAAAUUCAGACUUGCUGAAUUUGGCAUACAGCUUGUGCUCUCUAAGCUUUUCUAAAAUCAAUCGCAGAUGUUGCUCAUGUUCUUCUUUGCUCUUGGAGUAAAUCAAAAUAUCAUCGAUGAACACCACGACAAACUUGUCCAAAUAUUCCAUGAAUACCUUGUUCAUCAUUUUCAUGAAGUACGCUGGAGCAUUGGUUAACCCAAAUGGCAUCACUGUGUACUCAUACAACCCAUAUCUAGUGGUGAAGGCUGUUUUGGGUAUGUCUGCUUCUCGGAUUUUCAGCUGAAAGUACCCUGAUCAAAGAUCGAUCUUGGAAAAGACACAAGCUCCCUCCAAUUGAUCGAAUAGAUCAUUGAUUAUUGGUAAGGGGUACCUGUUCUGUAUCGUCACCUUAUUUAGUGAACGAUAAUCUAUGCACAUCAAUUGGCUCUUGUCCUUCUUUUCAACAAAUAGAACAGGUGCUCCCCAAAGUGAUGAACUAGGGCGAAUAAAACCUUUAGCCAGUUGCUUUGCGAGUUGCUUCUUCAGCUCCUUCAACUCAUCCACAGUCAUCUUAUACGGUCUCUUGGCUAUAGGUCCACUUCCUGGCAUUAACUCGAUAAGAAACUCCACAUCACGGUCAGGUCGCAUGCCAGGUAGUUCUUCUGGAAACACAUCUGGAUAUUCUUUCACUAUCGGUACAUCCUCUAGGCUAACCACCUUAAGAGAAUUUACCUUGGGUAUCUUAAGUUCAUAGGUUGACUUGAAGCGGAUUCGCUUCUUUUCUGGGGUGGUAAGGGUAAUUGUCCUCGUGACACAAUCUAUGAUCCCCUCAUAUUUGGCUAACCAGUCCAUCCCUAGGAUGACGUCCAAUCCUUGUGUUUCUAACACGACAAGUUCGGUGGGGAAAAUAUGCUUCCCAAUAUCUAAGGAAAAUAGGCGGCAUCCAUAAGCCGCUAUCAUGGUUCCCCCAGGUGAUUUCACUCUCAUCGGGUCGGUCAAGGUACUCGUAGGUAGCUUAUGUUCGUUGACAAACAGUCUUGAUAUGAAGGAAUGUGAUGCACCGAUAUCAAAAAGUAUGAGUGCUUGAAAGGUAUUUAUGGAAAACGUAUCGAUCACCAUACCUUUUUCCUCAGUGAUCUCUUCCACGUCAAUGUGGUUCACGUGCCCUUUCUGAAAGUUGUUUGGCUUGUGGACAUUCCUAUCAAUUCCUUUCGGGCAGUCGUUGGAGUAGUGUCCAAGUUUGUGGCACUUGUAGCACUCCACUUUGCUGAUGUCAUGCUUGGGGCGGUUAUCACUGCGGUUCUGUCCUGGGUUGUCUCCACUGCUCUAGCCAUUGCCAUUUCCAUUGUUGUUUCUCGGGCGUGAAUACUGGUGCUGGUGCUGGUGUCGGUUGCCAUUGUUUCCCUAGUGCUUGUGUCCAUGUCCCCCGUGGCGAUGGUGAUGUCCAUUUCCACCAUGGUGAUUGUGGUUGUGGUUCCCAUGCUUGAUCAUUGAAGAGCUGCCACUACCCUCAUAGGAGGUGCGCGGCCUUUGGUGUGGACCAGUGUGGGUGCUUCCAUGGUGAGGCCUCUUCCUGCGGUUCUCCAUCUGGUUCUGCUUGUUCUCCAAGAUGACGGCCUUGUCCAUCAGGGACUGAUAAGUAGGAAUCUAGACGACUGACUACUGAAUGGCAAGCUCGUCGUUCAAUCCAUCCAAAAACCUUUCUCGGCGCUUGGCAUUAGCGUUGACAUCAUUAGGAGCAUAGCGAGACAGUUUGUUGAAUGCCUCAAUAUACUCAGACACCGUGCGGUUCCCCUGCCACAGCUUAUGGAACUCCCUCUUCUUCAGGCUCAGCACGCCCGCAGAGAUGUGGGCGGUGCGAAAGGCAUCCUGGAACAUCUCCCACGUGACCUCUUCCAUGGGAGUGGUGAUCUGGUAAUUCUCCCACCAUGCUGCGGCGGGUACUUCAAGUAAGUGAGCAGCAAACCUAACUUUUUCUGCCUCAGUGCAGCCCACAGUUACUAAGCACUUGUUCGCCGAGCGAAGCCAGUCAUCCGCUACUAUUGGCUCAGGGUAGCUGGUGAAAGUAGGUGGGCGCAGUCUCAAAAAGCGAGUUAACAUGUCAACCUGGGGUGGCGGGUUGUGGUGCUGGUUGUUGUUGUUUUUCUAGUUAUUGUGGUUCUGGUUGUUGUUCAUAUGUUGGGUGAGUGCUUGUAGGAUCUGAGUCUGGGCUGCCAACAGUUGUUGCAUAGUAGCGGCAUUGUUGUCUUGCCCCUCAUUGUUGUCAGCAGCAUUGCGGCGAGGUUCACGUCUCGGCGGCAUCUGUUUUGGGACAGCAUAGAUGAGAACAAAGGAUAGACAGGGUCUAAGGAAAAACUAAGCCCCACAACACAGGAAAAAAUAACAAACAUAAACAGCAAGCACAUCACAAGUAUAGCAAUUUAAAACAUGAUCAAGACAAGUAUAACACAAGCAAAGCAUCUACUAAGAUUUAAAAUCCAAAAGCAAAUAGUUCAUGGGGCAUUCAAGCCUAAGACGAAAGCAAAUAGUCGCAAGCAAACCACACGAAUCCUACAUUGCCACACCACAAGAACGGUAUGGUCAAUGACUAAUACGAAUGCGAUAGAUAAAAGAUAUGGAGGUCUCCAAUUUAAGUUUAAGAGAGCGCGGUGAAGGUGCCGGUUCCAUUGGCCCUCGCCCUGGAGCGAGUGUUGGAGGUGGGAGUAUCCAUCUCCUGCGGCUCCUCCUGGGGUGGUGGUGGUGGUGGUGGUGGUGCUGGGGCAGCGUUGGCGACUUGAGCCUAGAGCUGAUCAAAGUUGUAUUACAGAAGGUCCUUCUCGUACAGGAUGUGCUCCAUGAAGUCAUGCAUGUUCAGGAUGGCGGUCCCCCUGCGAGCCAACUCAGUUUCAUGCUGUACCAGCUGUCCCUUGAGUUCUCCCACCUGUUUCUCAGUGAUGUCCGCUCGGAUCAUCUCGUCAUACAGGCACUUUCCCAUAUCCACCGUGUUCUGCUCCAAUGCCUCAAACUGGACAUCCUCCAUUGAUGGGUCUUCUCCUAGGGCGUCCAGACCCACGGACUCCCCGCCAACAACUCGUCUCCUGAAGCUACGGAAGACGGAGUCCUGUGGCAGGUCGUCGUAGUACGCCUCACACACACGCGCUAUCGCAUGCUGCAUAGUGUUGCACCCGUGGCAUCCAGGGUACCACCGUUGCAUGACGCGUGGGCCACCUCGCUUGCUCCCGGAAGGAUCGCACCCCGGGCAGCUCCGCGCAAGCUGCCCGGCAAGUCACCAGCCCGGCAGGGCUAGCCAUGCUGCGGGGGUUGCCUUGAAGGGCAGCAGGAGAAAUCCCACCUGUGCGCUUCCCGAGAAGGGUGUUCCCAGGCACAAGUGUCCGUUACAAGAGCAGGAGCGAGUGGGAGCGACAGUGGCACCACGUGGCCGGUCGGGGGGCACCCUGUGCGCAAAAUGUGGAAUGCCACCCGGGGUAACUAGAGACUGGGCUAGUUUCCUGUUUAGUAGCUUCCAGUACAACCACAUGGUAAUCUGGGCUCUGCCAAGAUUGAGUAAGUUAUUUGAAACUGGGCCCAAGGUGAUCGUGAUGAUGUAGCCGUGUAGGUGGGAGCGGGUCCCUCGGUAUGGGUCUGGGGGUACUUCUGAAAGUCUUGUAAUCGAUGUCAUUGCUACUCUACCCUGAGGACAGCAAGGGAUUAACUCGUCGAUUUCUUGUGGGUAAAGUGUACAACCUCUCGAAAGUGUCAAACUAAGUACUUAGCCGUGUCCCCGGUCAUGGACAUUUGUGAGCAGCUAGAUUAGGGGACUGUAAGGAAAUUCUCACUCACUCUAAUUUCUUAAUUAAAAUGAAUGGUUUGAACUUGGGGAUUAUGAGCAUUGAUGUGUCUACUCAAUGUCCAUAGUUUAAUAGGAGCAUUGGUGUGUCUACCCAAUGUCCAUUAGUGAUAAAACUAUUUGGUUAAAAUGAAAGGAAUAAACAAUGAAGCUUUUACGCAAAUAGCCUGAACUCCACCUUGCCAUAAAUAUGCAUGUAGUUGGUAGGUGUUGUUAUAUCAAAUUAUGAUCUUGCCAAUACAUUCAAUGUAUUGGCCCUAGUGACUGCAUCGUUUAAUGAUGCAGGAAGUUAUGACGAAGAGUGAGGGUACGAUUUGGUCUUUGGGUUACGAGCCUACAUUCCAACAUGCUACCACUGUAGUGUUGAUGUGGCUCUUGUAUCUUUGUUUUCCGCUAUAGAACUUUUCGUUUAUUUCCAGCUAACCCAUGGGGUUAUGCGAGUUUGUAAGCACUCUUAAAUUCUAGUUAUUACGUUGUAAUAUUUGAGACCUUUGUUUUAUGAUAUUACAUCUUGAAACUGUGUGUGCUAGUGAGUCAAUCCAGGGACUAGCACUUAAGCACAGAGAUCGAACCCUUUUAUGGGCACGGUCGUUUCAUACUAGGGCCCUCCUUUCUGCACAACAUGUAUGGGCCCGAACGAUACAACGGGGUGUCGCACCAGUGGCACCCGAGGUACCACCGCUGCAUGACGCGUGGGCCCCCUCGCCUGCUCCCCGGAAGGAUCGCACCCCGGGCAGCACCCCGCGAGCUGCCCGACAAGUCACCAGCACGGCAGGCCUAGCCGGGCUGCGGGGGUCGACCUGGUGGGCAGCAAGAGAAAUCCCGCCUGGGCGCUUCCCGGGAAGGUUACUUGCCGGGAAGGGCGUUCUCGGGCGCAGGCACCCGUUACAGGAGCGGGACCGAGUGGGCAGGACAGCGACGCCACGUGGCCGCUCGGCGAGCUCCCUGUGCGCAGGGUUCGCAGGACAAGGAGUGAAGCACACUCAAGCAUUAAAUGCACCGACAAAAAGUGGAUUCCCCGUCCAGUCAGCCUACAGUGACUGGCCCGGUGUAAAUUUUAGGCACAUAGGACCCUAGUUGCAGGGCUACCCAUCCUGCAUGCAAGCCAGCGCGGCAGGGCCGAGCUGCCCUGGCUCCUUGUUCGCCAUUUGUCACCGAUGCACUGAGACACCUGUGGUAUCCCCUUCGGUAUAAAAGUAGGACCCCACCAAUGGUCAAAGGGCUGGAAUGGACUCUCAGUUCACUACUAAUUCUAGCCAAGAGUAGCGAGUAGCACUUAGCCAAGAAGAGAGAGAGCACCCGAGGACUCCCCCGGGCAACUUGUAAACCCUUGCUCAUCGGUUAAUACCAAACUCAGAAGCAGGACGUAGGGUUUUACACCUCAGGGUGGCCCGAACCUGGGUAAAAAUGAUCUUGUGUUCACUGUAUCCCAGCGCUUGACAUUGGCCUCGCCGGCGAUCGCCGGAGCGAUCCCCGUCGCCCACUACCGAACCUAAAAGGGGGUGCUCGCGCAUCCCCGGUGUCUGAGCCCCGUGCUACGACAUCUGGCGCACCAGGUUGGGGCGCGUGAGGAGAGCUCGCCAGUGACCCCUGGCGCCGUCGUCGACAGCAGCAUCAGCCUCGUCUACCCCGACAACAGAGCCGGUCGCCAUGCCUCCCAAGCGGGCUGGUGACUCUCGGAUCGACCCGCGAGGCACGACGCGCCACCCGCGUCGCAGACUAAGGAGAACCCUGAGCCCUCUCGAGCGCAGCAGUCGCAGCUGCCACCCCCACCUCCUUAGCCGUCGGCGAACAACUGGCUGAGGGGGCCAGCGGCGCCCCGCGUCAGAGCCAGUCGCGCGAGCAGCCACGAUGCCGCCCACGCCGGCCAGCGAGUUCACUUGCGGGCUGGAGACGCGCAGCGGCAGCUGUGCCACGAACACACCGCGUCACGAGCGACAUCGUCGGGAUCACACCCUACUCACCCGGGUGCGCCGGGGGACAGGGCGGAGGGCAGCCGGUCGGAUAAUCGACUGCCCCCAGCCCAAACCCCGGCAGAAGCCAUCAUUGCCGUGCGAGUCAUGGUGCGGUAGGAGCCGCAGCAAGGCAUGCCGGCGCACGAGGUGUGGAGGGCAGAGUUGGACGCGCUCCUCGCACUCGCCGCCCAGCAAUCGCAGGGCGAGGGCGCCCCGGCUGGCUUAGGCCACGGGCAGAACCCGCGGCGCAGGGAGAAAACCCUGCCCCGCAGGGAAGGCAAGGAGGCGGGGAUCCUGAGGGGUCCUCGAAUUCGUCACCAACCGUCACGCGGGGUGAAGUGCACGGCGUCCUAAAUGCCCGCCAACAGUAGGAUCUCCGCCAGCGCCUGGAGCGCCGGCGCCGGCGCGAGGCAGAGCGCCCGCACCCUGAGGAGCAGGAGGAUGCUCCCAUGGGCGCCGAGGAUGGCUGCACCGCGUUCACCUGCAAGCUGCGCCGGGUAACAUGGCCCCGCAAGUGCCGAGCGUCGAUGCUUGGGACGUACGACGGGACCGUGAACCCGAGGGAUUUCCUCCUGACCUACACAUUGGGGAUGCAUGCCAUCGGCGCCGACGACAAGGUCAGGGCCAACUGGUUCCCGAUGGUCUUCAAGGGAUCGGCGAGAACUUGGUUGCUCAACCUGCCUGCCGGGUCCACAGCCUCAUGGGCUGACCUGCGCGAGCAGUUUGUGAGCGCGUUCCAGGGUGGCUACAAGCGCCCGGGAACCAUGGCGGAGAUGCACACCGUGGUGCAGAAGCCGGGCGAGACGUUGCGGAGUUUUGUCAACCAUUUCUCCAGUCUCUUCUACUCCAUUCCAGAGGCUUAGGCUGCCGCCAUCAUCAACACCUUCGCCAUCAACGUCCGCGACCCCAAGAUGCGGGAGAAGCGGAGCACGCAUCGGAUCCGGACGACGCAGGAGCUCUACGCCUUGCCGCACAAGUGCGCCAUGGCCGAGGAUCAGCGCCAUGCCACGAGCCCCGCUGAGGGCUCGCAUAAGAAGAGCUCCAUCAAGUGCAAUGGGAAGCAAAUCCUCGCUGCGGAGUCGGGGGCUGCCUCGAGGCCUACGAAGAAGGCCUCACCCGCUAGCAGGUCUGGAGGCAAGCCGGGCGACUUAUCUCGCUGCCCCAUCCACGCCAACGCUACCCACGACGCGCAGGAUUGUCGCAUCCUGCAGGGUAUCAAGCAGAGGCGCGAGCAGCGCCACGAAGAGCGCCGAGCGGCCGGCGCCUGCUUCAACUGCGGUGCCAUCGGGCAUCUCUCCCGAGAUUCCCCCAACGACCCCGGAGCAGGGCCGAAGCCUGCCGGGGGGGAUGCCGACCGAGGAGAAGCCAAGAGGGGACGUGGCCAGGCCCGUGCCGGCAGGGAGCGCCCUCCCCGGGGAUGAGACAAGGCUCGCGCUGAGGAGCAGCGUGAGUCCGACUGCAGCGGGGGCGACGAGCCCGGCUUCCAGGAGCCCCGCGGCGUCGCCUGCAUCCAUGGGGGAGCUUACACUCUCUCAUCUCAUGCCGCAGUGAAGCGCCUCACCCGGGAGGUGUGUGCGUUGUUGCCGGACGCGGAGGUGCAGCAGCCGCUGAAGUGGUCGCACGUGCCGAUCACCUUCAGCGCCGACGAUCACCCAGCCCGGCAGCUGGGUUCAGGGGUUUUACUCUUCGUGGUCUCACCGAUCAUCAACAACAUGACGGUGACCAAGGUGCUGGUGGACAACGGUGCGGGAUUGAACCUCCUGUCAGCCAGGUUAUUGGAGAAACUUCAGCUGCCGCUGGAGCAGUUGAAGCCCACUGACCCGUUCCGGGAGUGAACCCCGGGAUCGUGCACCCCUUGGGGCGCAUCACGCUGCCAGUUACCUUCGGGUCCCGGGAAGCGUUCUGGACCGAGCACCUAGUGUUCGAUGUGGCCCACACCCCGUUGCGCCACAACGGGAUCCUUGGUCGACCGGUGCUGAUCAAGUUCAUGGCAGCGACUCAUUGCGCCUACGACGUGAUGAAGACGCCGUCCCCGUAUGGAGUCCUCUCCAUCAGGUGCGAUCUCAAGGACGCAGCCUAGUGUGUUGGCGAGGUCGUCAAGGCCGCCGCCGCAGCCGACUCUGGUGACGAAGGCGUUGCCGGAAGUGAAGGCUCGCUGCCGGGCAACGGCCCCGCAGCGAAGAAGGCCCGCGCUACCCCGCGGGAGCUUGCCGGGGGAGGUGCAGGCUCGAGCUCACGCCCCGGCAAGGGCCAGAAGCUCAAGGAGGAGGCCGCCAAGGUGAAGAAGCUACGCCUCCAAGCCGGCAAUGAGGAGCGCACCAUCAACGUCGGUGCGAACCUCAAUGCCGAAUAGGAAAGCGCCCUCAUCACUUUCCUCCGGGAGAACGCCGACGUGUUCGCCUAGGAACCGUCGAACCUUCUCGGGGUCCCUAGGAAGGUGAUCGAGCAUCGACUCGCGGUGCGUCCAGACGCCCGCCCCGUCAAGCAGAAGGUCUGCCGGCAAGCACAGGAGCGCAAAGAUUUCAUCAAGCAAGAAGUGGACAAGCUUAAAGCUGCGGGGGCUAUCAGGGAUGUACUAUACCCCACUUGGUUAGCUAAACCUGUAGUAGUACCCAAGGAGGAGGAUAAACUUCGCAUGUGUGUAGAUUUUACUGAUCUUAACCGUGCGUGUUCGAAAGAUCCUUUCCCUGUACCUCGCAUUGACCAAAUAGUAGAUUCCACUACUGGUUGUGAUUUGCUGUGUUUUUUGGAUGCUUUUUCCGGCUACCAUCAAAUUAAGAUGGCAGUCGAAGACGAAGAGAAAACGGCGUUCAUCACUCCGGUUGGCUGUUACUGCUACACAUGCAUGCCUUUCGGGUUGCAGAACGCGGGCUCAACAUUCCAGCGUGCAUUACGUGAGUGUUUGGGGUCCCAGCUAGGCCGAAACGUUGAGGCCUACAUGGAUGACAUCGUCAUCAAGGCAAAGCGGGGGGACUCGUUGAUUGAUGACCUGCGGGAAACGUUUGAUAACCUCCGCAGGAUCAAGCUCAAGUUGAACCCAGAGAAAUGCACCUUUCAUGUAGACUCGGGGCAGCUUUUGAGCUUCUUGGUUUCACACAGGGGGAUUCAAGCCAACCCAAAGAAGAUAGAACUUAUAGAGAAAAUGGAGGCUCCCCGCAGGGUGAAGGACGUGCAGCGCCUCAACGGCUGUGUGGCCGCGUUGGGGCGUUUCAUCUCGAGGCUGGGCGAACGCGCCCUGCCUUUCUUCAAGGUAAUGAAGAAGAAGGGCCCGAUCGACUAGACCCCCGAGGCUGAGGUGGCGUUCCAGGAUCUCAAGCAGUGCCUGAAGUCGCCGCCGAUCCUCGUCGCCCCCAAGCCGGGCGAGCCGCUGCUACUCUAACUAGCGGCGACUGACCAAGUGGUCAGCUCAGUGCUAGUUGUCGAGAGAGAAGAAGACCUCCCUGAGGCCGAGCUUGCGGGGCAGAGGGCUGGACUAGCCCCGGCAACCGCCCCAGACCCGGGAACUGCCGUCGAGCCGGCAACGUCAACACCGUGCAGGCGGCUCUUGCAGCACCCGGUGUACUUCGUCAGCACAGUGCUGCGCGACGCCCGCAUGCAGUACCUGCAAGUGCAGAAGCUCUUUCUGGGGAUCCUGGUUGCAUCCCGCAAGCUACGCCACUACUUCCAGGCACACCGCGUCACGGUGGUGUCAGGAUUCUGGCUCGAGCAGGCCCUCACCAACCGUGAAGCCACCGGAAGGGUGGCCAAGUGGAGGAUGGAGUUGUCGGAGUUCGACCUGCACUUCACCAACACCAAGAGCAUCAAGAGUGCGGCUCUGGCUGAUUUCGUUGCAGAGUGGACUUCGAUGGGCGUAGAAGAAGAAGAGCCGGUGACCAGCCUGCCUGGCAAGCUGGACGAAGGCCACUAGAUCCUGUACUUCAACGGCGCGUUCAGCCUGCAGGGAGCUGGUGUCGGAGUCGUCAUCGAGUCCUCUGGAUCUUGUACUUCAACGGCGCGUUCAGCCUGCAGGGAGCUGGUGCCGGAGUCGUCAUCGAGACCAGCUGAAGUUCACCAUCCAGCUCGACUUCCCCAACUCCACCAACAACACGGCUAAGUACGAAGGGUUGCUCGCCGGGUUGCGGGCGGUGAUCGCCCUUGAUAUCAAGCGCCUAGUUGUUCGUGGGGAUUCCCAACUCGUGAGCAACCAGGUUAACAAGGACUACGCCUGCCCGCUGAUGGCAGCGUACGUGGAUGAGGUCUGCAAGCUAGAACGCAAGUUCAAGGGUUUGCGGUUCGAGCACGUCAAGCGCAAGGAUAACUUCGCGGCUGACGAGCUGUCCAAGUUGGCAGCAGAGCGCCGGAAGGUUCCGGCAAGGGUGUUCUAGCACAGGCAGACUGCGCCUUCGGUUGCCCCCAAGCAGGCUGCCGGGGAAGCCCCCCCGGCAACUGAAGGAAACCCCGCAAUAGCGGAGGUCCAUGCCGCAGAUGUAGCGGCAUGCAUGAGCAGGGAAACCCCGCCUUGGGCGGUGGAUAUCGCCCGCUACCUGAAGGGAGAAGCCCUCCCGGAAGAUGACGUUGCCGCAGAACGUGUAGCCCGGCAAGCCAAGAUGUACACCCGGGUGGACGGGAACCUCUACCGGAGGCGUGCAAAUGGAGUGAAGCUCCUCUGCAUGCCCAAAGACGAAGGGCGCGCACUCCUGGAAGAGAUACACCGAGGCACAUGUUCUCACCAUGUGGCCUUCCGGGCUUUAGCCGGCAAGGCCUACCAGCACGGCUUCUAAUGGCCUACAGCGCUAGCCGAUGCUGAGCAGCUAGUCAAGACGUGCGAGGCGUGCCAGUUCCACAUGAAGAAGAGUAACUAGCCUGUGCAGGUCCUGCAAGUCAUUCCAUCCUCCUGGCCGUUCGCGGUCUGGGGGCUGGACAUCGUUGAUAAGUUGCCGAGAGCGGUUGCCGGCUACGAGUACUUGCUCGUGGCCAUCGACAAGUUCUCCAAGUGGGUGGAAGUGGAGCCAGUGCAGAAGGUGACUGCUCAGGCAGCCAUCAAAUUCUUCAAGGGCAUUGUGUGCCGGUUUGGUGUGCCUAACGGCAUCAUCACCGACAAUGGCACACAAUUUACGAGCGCCGUGUUCCAAGCCUACUACACUUCUCUUCUGUUGCUAACCCGAGGAGAAACGGACAGGCGGAACGAGCCAACGCAGAGGUGUUGCGGGGGCUCAAGAUGAGAACCUUUGACAAACUCAAAGGCCACGGAAAGCACUGGGUCGAAGAACUCCAGCCCGUGCUGUGGUCAAUCAGGACCACACCUAGCGGGGCAACGGGUGAAACUCCUUUCGCCCUUGUCUACGGAGCAGAAGCGGUGCUGCCCCACGAGCUCAAGCAUGGAUCCCCUCGAGUAUGCGCGUACGGCAACAAUAGCCAACACGAGCAGAGGGUUGACGAUCUAAACUUCAUCGAAGAACUUCGAUGCCGGGCUACUGUGCGGGCUGCGCGCUACCAGCAGGGACUCCGCUGUUACCAUGACAGGCGGGUCCGUCCCCGGAAGCUCGAGAUCGGAGACCAUGUCCUGCGCCGGAUACAAGGAACGAAGGCUGAGAACAAGCUGGCUCAGAAAUGGGAGGGCCCCUUCCGGGUAGUGCAGGUAACCAGGCCGGGGGCUGUACAGCUGGAAACCGAAGAAGGCUUGCCAGUGCAAAAUAGUUGGAACCUUGAGCACUUGCGUAAGUUCUACCCGUGAAGCGGCGGAGCCCGACCCAUAGGCGAUGCUCCGGUAGCAUGCCUCUCGAACUAGUUUAGCCGGGCAACCCCCGAUUGUAAAUCGUUAGUUUCGAUGAAUAAAGAUAAGUGCUUUCCUCUGAGUUUCAAGUUGUCUCGAUUAUUUGCAUGUUUUUUCUUCUGUCUCCUGCUUUAGGUGCACAGAAGUCUCGUUCCAUCCUUGGUUGUGAGCAGGGGGCUGCCGGAGCCUCGAAAACAAAAACCCAUUGCCGGAUCGCUCCGGCACGUGCACAUGCCGUUGCCGGGCUCCCCGCAACGCGCAUCACGCAGAAGUUGCAUCCUGGAAUGGAAGAGUGCUCACACCCAAGUUUGGCAUCGACCCUUCUGUGUCCGGGGGCUGGGAGGAAGGAGGGUUACCUGUGCUCUAUCUGUGUUGUUGUCUUUUUUCGUGCAUUUCAAAAAAUAAUUGCAGCAUCUUGAGCUCGGUAAGAAUUUGACAUGCAAGACAAGGACGGAAUUGCGCGCACUGUGAUGCUCGUGCAGCGCUCACGGGCUGUGUCAUUUAGCGGUGCCCAGUAGUGCGUGGAGACCGCACUUCGAGGCUCCUGCUGCAGGAGGGAGCCGCCACGUGUGCCGCAGUGACUCGGCGCGCAUGGCGGCAAGGUUCUUCGUGGCGCCUAUAAAAGGGCGUGGAGGCCAUAGAGCAACUCAGAGCGAAGCCAAGAAGAUAGCUUCCAAGGCGAGGGAGGCCGUAGAGGCACGGUUGGGGUGCAUGCCAUCAGCGCUCAACGCUGAUGUGUGCAUUGCCGCCGUGCCCUUGCCGCACCCCUCCAACAGGUGGUUCCGAGGCGAGGGCUGCCGCGGAGACGCUGUGGUGGCGCCGCCAUCAGUGCUUGGUGCCGACGGCGGCCCCGCCACAGUGUUCCUGCCGCAUCCCUCCAGCAAGCGUUCCAAGUGCGAGAACAGACAGCUAAGUGCAUGGUCCUAAUCACCUAACUUUCUGACGCUUAACAUUGGCUCACUGGUGUGGCUCGAGCACUCUGUGUGGCUGGCGUGUUAGAAGGACGCUUGUGGGGGGGAGUGUGCUCCUCAUGCGGCUCGCGGGUCCGUCCCAUGAGCGCAUGCUUGGGGGUAGCUAUCCCGCAAGCGGAGUGGCUCGCCGCCGCUACUUGACCCCAGGUUGGCACUGCGGGUCUGUCCCGGGUCCCUGGCCUGGUUAAGUGUGUCGCGCGCGAGUCCCCGGCAACACAAAGCAUAGCACGCGAAGGCCAGUAGAUCCACCCCGCGAGUCAAUCCCGGGAACAAGAAGCAAGUACCAAGUAGAACCAGAAAGCGAAAUUCAUAGAAACAGUGAACGAUUACAUAGAAUAAUAAAACAUCAAUUGUUUAACGGCGCCAAGCGCGAUACUUGCAGGAAUCAAAAACGAAGACAGAAAGAUAAAACAAGGACCAGCAGGGGGCGGUGGCGACUAGUUGUCGAGGUCUUUGGCUGGGGCCUCCGCCUCUGGCUCUUGCUCCGGCUUCCUCUGCAUCCGGUCCGCCACCUCCUCGAUGAACCUGAUCACCGCCUUGCAGUGAGUAGGGCCAUCCUCGCUGUCCGACCAAGCGUCCAGCAACGUCUCGAAGGGGAAGUCCAGGUGGUGGAGGUGCACCCGGGGGAGGAUCGUCUCAGCGAUCUCCCUGGCGCACGAGGCUAUCUCCCCGUCGCAAGAACUUGGAGAUCCACACGUCGAGCGCCCCGAGCUUCCCCACCAUGUCAUAGAAGAAGGGGAUCAAGGUGCUGACGUCCGUGUCAUCCACCUUCGCGACCUGCAUCUCAAACCUCGGCAGGAGGUCGUGCAUGGCCUGGGCGAUCUCGCGGAGCUUCUCGGUCUCCCUCCGUCGCUGCUCUACCAACUUGUCGUGGUUGCCGCAUGCCAGCGCCACCGCUUUCUUGGCCCGUUGGAGGAGUUCUGCUCGCCGCGAGAUCUCCGUCGCCAUGGCCACGUUGUCCUCGCCCACGUUGACGAGCUUCUCCCGGGCAGUGGCCAAUUCGGACUCACGUUGGGCGCUCUUCUCCUUGGCGGAGUUGAGCUCCUUCUCCCGCUGUGCCGACGCCGCUGCCACAUCCUCCGCAUCCUUGGUCUGCUCCCCUAGCUUGGUGCGCAGCCCCUGGAGCCGGGAGAGGUAGCUACAGACUAGCUCGAUCUUCUCGUUGAGGCGAGCUUGGGCCGUAGCGAGCACCUCCUCGUGCUCCUUCUUGGCCUUCUCCCACGCCGCGGCCAGCGAGUCCAGGGCUUGCUAGUGCUCGGCGCGCUGGGCCUCCAGUUGCCGGUGGAGCUCCGCCUCGGGGACAACCGGCGUUGCGGCUUCAUCCCUGGCCUGCCGGACCAGGCGCGUCUCCUCCCGCAGCCGGGAGAGCUCCUGCCGCUCCCUCUCGACGGCCUGCCGCACCUCGCCGAGCUGGCCCUUCGCGAGCUCGUGGCGCUCCCUCACCUGGUUGAAGGAGGUGAGGAGCGCCAGUUGCUGCUCCUUAAUGGAGUCAAGCAACUAGUGCCCCUGGUCGUAGAUGCUUGAGUCCCAGGUGAUUGGGUCCCAAGUUGGCCCGGCAAGGAUGCCGAGGUUUGGACCGGAGGUAGCAGCGGACGACGACGAGGCCCCCGCCGCCACUGUUUGGCCGGGAGGGGCGUCGUCCCCUUGCGGCGGAGCCUCCUGUUGCUCCCUUGCCGCAGCCUCCUCCACACCCGCGCCCACGGGUUGCGGGACUAGUGGAGUUGCCGUGCCCCCGGCAGGAGGCACCUCCUGCGGGGAGACAGCGGGAUCCACGUCAUUGGCCCGUACGGCCCAGGACGCGUCGCUGAGCUCCGCCUCAGUAUCGACGGUGGGCGCCGGCACCACUGUGUCCGGCACGAUGGAGCCUGGCGCGGGAGCCUCUUCCGGCUCCUCUCUCGUCCCCGCGUCUUCGACGUCGGAGCCGAGAUCGACCACCGCAUCGCCCUCUCCCAUCGUGGGCCCAGUCGGGUCUGCAACAAAGAAAGGAAUUAGAAUCUAAAAAUAAACUAAGUUACCCGGUGAUGAACGCAAGGAAGCUCUGAACGAGUACCUUGCGAGGCCGCCGCGCUUGCGGGAGGAGCCUCCUCCUCCUCCGUCCUAGCCUCUGUCGCCGGGGCGCCCGCCGCGGGCUGGACUUUGCCUGCGAAUCAAGAAAACGACAUGGUUACGGGUCAGUGGACAGAGGAAACAUAAACAAUGGAGCCAGAAGAGGGAUCAGUACCUGUUGCCGGUCCUCCACUGGGAUUGGGUCAGCGGCAGACGCGUUGGCGGCGCCGCCAACCCCCGCGCUAGCCGGAUCGGUGCUGGCACGGGCCCGGGUGUGCGGCUUCUUGCUCGGCGCGGCGGGUGGCGAGUCAGCCCUCCCCAUCUUGCCGGCUCCCGUCGGGGUUCCGUCCUUCGAGGGGUUGAGCUUGAACUCGUAGCCCCGGAAGAGCCCCUGCUUGGGCGGGGCCAUGGGCGCCCGCAGGGUUGCCACACCCCCGGUCGCCGCGGAAGCCGCCACGGCGCUUGCGGUCAUUGCGGAGGUGGCCGUUGCUGCGGGCGCUCUUGAUCUUCGCAGGAUAAGGGGUGCGUCGUCCUCGUCCUCCUCCUCCUCCGCCGCGGGGAGGACCGCUCGGGUCCCGGCAACUUGACCCGCCUCGUCGCCGGAAGACUCGAGGUCGGGCCAGCUGAGCUCUGACUCUCCCUCACUCUCCUCGACCACCCGCUUCCCCCGGGUUGCGGGUGGAAGGGGUCGCGGGGCCCGAGCGGGGGAGUCGGACAUCAGCCCCCACUCGUCGCAGGGUGGGUAGCCGCUGAUAAUCUUGUGCAACCCCGGGACGCCAGCAUGGAGAGAGGGAGCCCCUGGCGGCAGCUCUGUGAAGGGGGCGUCUUCGCCGGUGAUCCCCUUCACCCAUGCCCGGAUUGCUUCCGGGGCCACGCCCCCAUGCUAGAGGCAGGUGGUGUCCCCGGGCCCCGUGUACAUCUAGGUAGGGCGGGAGCGCAGCUGCAGCGGCGCGAUACGUCGGCUGAUGUAGGUGCGCGCCACGUCGAGGUGGGUGAGCCCCGCGGCUCUCUCGAUGAUGGGGAGGAGUUCAGCGUCGCGGCUGUAGCGGUUCCGCCAGGUGUCGUUGGGCACCGGCAGCUCGGUGGGCGUGUAGAUGAACUCCUCGGGUUGCUCCACAAGAACCCAGCACCAGUCCGCGCGCCACUCCUUCUCGAUCUUCUUCUCCGACCGGACGAUGAACUUCGAUUUCAUCCGGUCGCGGGCGCGGAAAAGACCACCCCCGACGACAUCGCCCCCUCCUGCUCGACGCGCAGGUAGAAGUAGUGCCGGAAUAAUGCCACCGACGGCAUCACUCCGACGAACUCCUCGUAGAGGACCUGGAAGACGGCGAGGAGGAAGAGGGAGGUGGGGUGGAGUUGCGCCACCCGAAGCUGAUACGCCUCCAUGAGCGCAUGGAGGAACAAGGAGAAUGAAGGCACCAGCCCGGCGAGGAUGAAGCGCGCGAACACCCGGAAGUCAUUCUCAUGGUGCUCGGCGCCGACGGGGAAGAUGAGAGUCUCCCCGUACUCGUUGAACCGCGAGGCGACGGCAUGCCGGACCUUGUCUAGUCCCUUGCCGUUGUAGCCGGGCCGGAAGAAGGCAUGCGUGGCCCUCAGCGCCCGCCUCUUCUGGUCCUUCUCCAAGGCGGGCUUCUUGGGAGCCGUCUCGCUCUUGCGGGCCGCGGGCUUCUUGGAGCCUUUCCCUUUCUCGGGAGCGGUGGGCGCCAUGGGGAACGCGGGCAAAAGCUAGCAGGAUUCAGGGGCGCAAGGGAGCGUGAGGAUGGAGAAGAAAGGUUGGGGGGCUAAGUGUUUGCUCCUCAGUGCAGCAGUGGGGUCUUAUAACACCCCGGCGCUGAGCAACGGUCGCAUCCGCACCCUACGGGUGCAUUGGGGAAAACUACACUUCAAGAGGAUAGUGCAGGGCGUGGCCUUAACCACCCGUGUUUAAGGGGGUGGUUAGGGCGGAAAUCUCGCGCCCACUACUCUGCCCGUAACGGCAGAAUUCUUGAAGCAGCGCAUAGACGAGGACCCGAGGCGGCUCGGGACCCACGCGUCAGUUAAGGGCGUAGCCCGGCACCCGACCAGGGAAAAGUCCACCCUGGAACAGGCAUUGCCGGCCCACGCCCGGGGGCUACUGUCGCACCAGUGGCACCCGGGGUACCACCGCUGCAUGGCGCGUGGGCCACCUCGCUUGCUCCUCGGGAGGAUCGCACCCCGGGCAGCACCCAGCGAGCUGCCCGGCAAGUCACCAGCACGGCAGGGCUAGCUGGGCUGCGGGGGUCAUCCUGGAGGGCAGCAAGAGAAAUCCCGCCUGGGCACUUCCCGCGAAGGUUACUUGCCGGGAAGGGCGUUCCCGGGCGCAGGCGCCCGUUACAGGAGCGGGACCGAGUGGACAGGACAGCGACGCCACGUGGCCGCUCAGUGGGCUCCCCGUGUGCAGGGUUCGUCAGGACAAGGAGUGAAGCACACUCAAGCAUUAAAUGCACCGACAGAAAGUGGAUUCCCCGUCCAGUCAGCCUACAGUGACUGACCUGGUGUAAAUUUUAGGCACAUAGGACCCUAGUUGCAGGGCUACCCAUCCUGCAUGCAAGCCAGCGCGGCAGGGCCAAGCUGCCCUGGCUUCUUGUUCGCCGUUUGUCACCCAUGCACCGAGGCACCUGUGGUAUCCCCUUCGGUAUAAAAGGAGGACCCCGCCAACGGUCAAAGGGCUGGAAUGGACUCUCAGUUCACUACUAAUUCUAGCCAAGAGUAGCGAGUAGCACUUAGCCAAGAAAAGCGAGAGCACCCGGGGACUCCCCCCGGCAACUUGUAAACCCUUGCUCAUCGGUUAAUACCAAACUCAGAAGCAGGACGUAGGGUUUUACACCUUAGGGUGGCCCGAACCUGGGUAAAAACGAUCUUGUGUUCAUCGUGUCCCAGCACUUGACAUUGGCCUCGCCGGCAAUCGCCGGAGCGAUCCCCGUUGCCCACUGCCAAACCUAAAAGGGGGUGCUCGCGCAUCCCCGGUGUCUGAGCCCCGUGCUACGACACGAGGUGCUGAAUCGGUAUGUUCGUAACAGAGGGCAUCCGAAAGGUAGCAUCAUGCAAGGCUACCAUGUAGAAGAGUGUGUGGAGUACGCCACUGAUUGGUUGGCGGAUCGCAAACCCAUAGGAGUACCCGAAUCAGGACAUGAGUGCAAACUAGAAGGUGAAGGUGGGCUUGGCCGGAAGGUUCUGGAUGUGUAUUCAUUGGGGAGAGAGGACAACUAUAUGAGAGCACAUACAAUGGUGCUGCAACAUAUGUACGAGGUCUAGCCUUUCAUCGACAUGCAUAUGGAAGAACUUGAAAACCAGUACCCUAACAGGAGUGCUGAUUGGAUACACAAGACCCACAAUGCAACAUUCGCCAUGUGGCUCAAGAGUUUGUGGUAUGCCAGGGUGGUGGCAAAUGAAGAAGAAAGGACCGCUCAAAAGUUCUCGUGGCUACCCGACGGCUGCGUAGUGACUUACCAGUCGUACGCAAUGAACGGGUAUGUUUUGAAUAUGUUCUGAAUUUGAAAUAACUUGUUCAAAUUUGAUAGCAAAAUGUCUUAAAUAACUUGUUCAAAUUUCAAAUCAAAUGUCUUAAAUACGUUUUGAAUUUGAAAUAACUUGUUCAAAUUUGAAAUCAAAUGUCUUAAAUAUUUUCUGAACUUCAAAAUAACUUGAUCAAAUUUCAUGGAAAAAAAUUAGCCCACCCAGUCAACACGGCUUUUCAGGUUCGGGCCCAGCCCGGCGAACCAGGGAGCUGCUUACUACCU
rnacentral:lncRNA from 1 species